rnacentral:rRNA from 1 species
GAUCCUGGCUCAGGACGAACGCUGGCGGCGUGCCUAACACAUGCAAGUCGAACGAAGCUCCCCGAUACAAGACUUCGGUCAAGUUGAAGGGAUGACUUAGUGGCGGACGGGUGAGUAACGCGUGAGGAACCUGCCUUUCAGUGGGGGACAACAGUUGGAAACGACUGCUAAUACCGCAUAAUGUGCCUUGGGGCAUCCCGGGGUACCAAAGCUUUAUGUGCUGAAAGAUGGCCUCGCGUCUGAUUAG